rnacentral:lncRNA from 1 species
CGGGGCGGCAAAACGUCCGCCCGGGCCCGAGGCGGGCGGAGGCAGCUGUGGUUACGUGCGGGGGGCCGGUGACGCAGUCGCGGGGCGCUGGGACGCGGCUUGCGGAGCCGGCCGGCGAGCGCAGGCCCCAGGCUCGGGCGCGGCGGCGGGACAGCACCUACCUUCCCGGCUUCGGGUCCGGGAGUGCGGGGCGCGGAGCCGCCGGAGCGCUGCCUCCCUCCUUCCUCCUCCCCUCGCCCCCGCCCCGCGGCGCGACACACAAUACUCGCCGGAAGCGGAAGCCGCGCCGAGGCUCGUGUCAGUGGAAGCUGGGGUGUCGGCGGGCGGCCGCGGCCGGGUCUAGCGGUGCCUGCGGAAGAAGGAGGAGGAGGGCUGGCGAUGAGAAGCAGCAGGGGGAAUCAAGGGCAAGAAGGGACCCAGAGGGGCAGGUGGCUGAGAUGCUGGCGUCCAGGUGACCCGAGGAAUCCUCUGGAGAUACAGGCCCGCGCAUGCGCGUGCUCGAGCGCUGAAGCCCAUUGCCCGCAGGGCGCUGGACUGGCGCCCCGGCCGGCGAGGCUGUCUAGUCCAGGCUCCAGGCCCCGGCUCUGGCCAGGCGCCGCCGCCUCCCGGUGCAGCUGAAAGUCGACGAAGAGGGCGGGGCGGGGGCGGCUUGUGGACUUCCACACUUUUCCUCUCUUCGGGCCAGUCUGGGGAGAGGGUGGCUAGCUGUGGCGGCGGCCAAUUACGUGGCGGACCUGCGGGGCUAAGCUGGCACGUCACUUCCGACUAGUGGAGUUUUUAGCCUUUUAACAUUCAAGGAUUAGGUAAAAGUCUUGCAGUGAAAAACCCGAGGACCCUUACCGCAAGUGUCUUUUGCUCCCAGCUACUGAUACUGGAUUCCACUCGUGAUUCUCCCUUUCUUAGCGCAUUCAUGAUAUAGACAUCAGUCUCUGAGCUGGAGGAGGACAAAGGCAGCGGUCCUGUGAAUUCUAUGCUCUAGCUUGGGUUAAGGGAUUUGGAAUUGCACUUGUUUCAGAGAGCUCCCUCUUUGCCCACUAGCAGGGCAUUAGCUGGUGCUGAAGACAGUGGCUGCUUGGCGAGCCUGGAUCUCCAAGUGACCCCCUCAGCAACUCCUGAUGAACAGGACUGAAGCCAAUAUUAAAGCAAGUCAACCAAAGGUUCUCUGGUGUAGACAAGACAGCAAAAGGACAGACUACCUUGUGGAACCUAGCAUUGUUCUCCUUCUGCAGCACUAAGUAACAUUUGUUCUCCGUUAAGAUCUUUGCAAACCACACACAAGAAUUGCUGGUCAUCCUGCCAAUAGAUGCUGCUCACAGAACCAAAUUUCCUGUGCUGAAUUGUCACUCAUGGGCUUGAGAGUAGGAGACUGGAGACCAAGGUGGCUAGAAUCCAGUUGGGCCUGAUGUCUCCCUGUUGAAAGGGCUCCUUGUGGAAUGAAUAGCACAUGGCUCCUGUGGUGGAUCUGAUAGUGGCAUAGCACCAAGUGAUGCAGGCCUGCCAGGGGCCACAGACACAGAAGAUGCUCCCGGGGUCCCCCAUGUACUCCAGACACACUGCAGGCCACCUCUCCCAGCAGGUUGCCAGUCAUGGGCCCCAUCAUCAUGACUUCUGUCCAAGGUACUGUGUGCAGAAAUGUGAUUGAGAUUCAAGUCAGGGCCUCUCUGCCCUUUUCCCUCCAGAAACAAAACCAAGAUAAUUUAUCCUGAACACGGUGAAAAAAGGAAGGGAGGGAGGAGAAAAAGUCCGGGUCUCACCUGGGAUUCUCUGUCUCCUGCAACAUGAAGGAUUUAGCCUGGGAGGAGGUGGUGAGAACUCUGGGAGAGAAAAAAGAAGGAAAGAAUAGUUUUACCCAUGCUGAAGUUAAUUUAAACCUUCACCUAGAGAAGCAAAAAAAAAAAACCCACACUUUCCCAUUUUGUGCCUCCCUUCCUAGAGUUUUAGCCAAAGGUUUAGCUAAGUAAUUGGUUUUACCAGCGCACUCACUCCUCCUAUCCCAAGUCUGUUUGACUCCCUCCCCAUCAUCCUCCUCACCUCUUUUCAGGCAGGGUGGGGAUAGCAGCAGGAGGAGAUUUUGGGAGCCUGGCAACUCCUGCAAGGACCGCAGGACAGCCCCUCUGUGGGGAUGCGUGGUGCCCCAUCUGCCGCCCUUCUGAAGAAUGCACUGCCUUCACUUUUUACUGUGUUAGAGUCCAUCCAGACUGUUCUAUCCAAAAAAGUUUCUUUUUCCCCCACAGGCAAUCAGGAAAUGAUUCCUUUCCCGACUGCUUCUGUCUAGUGCCUGGGAAUCUUGAGUCAAUCCCUCAGUAAGUCAGUGACUAGGGAAAUCCCUCUCUGAGCCUCCCAGUUCAUGUUGCUUAGGGAACCUGAUAUUUUCGUGAAACCUGCCUACACAUGGGCAGCCCAACAGCAGAACAAAUGGUGGUGACCAAAGUGAACAAAGAAGUAUAGUUGUGCCAGCUUCGUAGUUGCCCAUGUGGACAAGUCAGCAGGAUCAGGACACGAGGAAGAGUAAAUGUGAGACAGUCAAUGUGACUUCUGCGAUAAACAGAUUUUUAAACCCCGAAAUUUUGCAAAAUUUUGGUGAAACCUGAACUUUCUUCGUUGCAUAUACUGGCACUAUCUGUACCAUCAUACAACUGUCUCACAUUAAAGCUAUUUUUCUUGGGCACUGAUGAGUAAGGUUGGUAUAAGUUCCUCAGAUCAACAAAAACCCAUUUUCCUGUAAGUCUUACAUUUAGUAUUUAAGGAACUAAAACUUAAAUACAUUUUGUGAAAUGGUUGACACUUCACUGAUAAUGAUUUAUUGCUUGGAUUAAUAAAUUUUCCAAAAGUUGUCUUAUGUAGAAUAUGGUUUGCAACCAGCAGAACCAUUAAUCUAUACUGCAAUGAUAUGCACUAUGUAUAAUUGUUUAAAAGCCUCUACUUAAUGAUGUAAAAUGCUCUAUUUAAUUACACAUUUGGGUAAACUGUAUACUAACAUCUGAUGGCAUUUUUCCACUGUUUGUUGCUUUUUUCAAAUACUUUAUUGUACAAAGCUGUUCUUAAUAUUUUUCAAGUUUUUUUCUUUGAAUUUUGCUAAUGUUUUCCUUGAAUUAUGAGCACUGACAGAAUGUGCUUAGCACUUUUGGCUAUUCACACAGCUUUUGAGCAUGAUUUGCAUCCAAUAUUUACAUUGCUAGCAAUAAUAAGCCAUCUGUGAGUUUUGUCAAAAGUUAUUGGGGAUUUUUUAAAUUUUAGAAAUGCAAAUUAUUGUUUCUUUGAACUAACUCUUAUGCAGUUGCAAAGGCAUUUCCAGUUGUUAUAGUUUGUGUACAAUAUCAGGUGUUCCAGAUUAUGAUUCAUUAUUAAUAUCAUUGCUUCCUUGUUCCCUCUGAGGUCCAGAAGAUUCAUGUUUACAAUAUUUAGAAACAAUGUUAAAAAGGUAUCCAAAGUUUGUCACUUUAUUAUUAGUUUGUUCUUAAUAUUCUGUUUAAGUUUUUGAAUUCAUAGAUAUCAAAACGCUGCACAAUUAUGAUUUCCACAGGAAUAACAACACACUAACAAUAAGAACCAAAAACAGCAAAUAGGCUGCCUACAAGUUUUGACAAUAUUAGGAUAAUGAUAAUGACAGUUUUUCUAAAUCUCACAGUAAAGAAUGCAGCAACCCAGCAACACUGCUACCUGUGGCCUCAGGCUGCAGUGUCAGCUCUUCCCUGGGUCUCCAGCCUGCCAGUCUAACCUGAAAAUUAUGUACUUGCCAGCCCCCACAGUCACGUGAGUGAACUGGCCCAGGCUGGUCACCAGGGUCAGUUUCUCUGUGUGUCAUUAAUUCAUUCAGUCUUCAGCAGUCUCUUUGGAGCUGAGAUGUACCUACCAUCUGCCUUUUGGGUGCUUAGGGUGGAGAACCAGAAAAGUAUAACCUAGUGUGUAUCCUCAAAGAGCUAACAAUAUGGGGUGGUACCUAUAGGUCUGGAAACACUUUACUGACUCUGUGAGGCAUACCAGGAGACGUCAGAGAACAGUCCCUCCUCAAAUGCCAAAUGAGAUGCAGAAGAAAUAGUUUGCUCAAGUUCAUGGGCCAGAUAUCCCAGUGGUCAGGGAGUUUCAUGAAUGAGAUGGAACUUUGCAUGGAACCCGAGGGAUGUGUAUGAUUUGAGUAGAUGAAGAAAAUGAGACUUUCCAAGCAGCUAGAAGUUAGGGAGCAGCAAGAUGUGUGGUGGGAUUGAGCACAGUUGGUUCAGAGGAUAGACUGCAGUUUUAAUAAUUUGUAGUAAAUAUCUCCCAACUGUUUGGCACUAUUGGAGCAAGUUCUUGAAUGCCAAAUGAAGGCAUAAAUCAGUAAGAGGCAUAAUAAAAGGCUGAGCAGUGCUUGGCUUUUUACGAACUGAUCCUGAUAGGAGCAGCUGUUCAACAAAGUUGCCAGGUCACCGUUACAUAGUCCCUGCCUUCUAGGGGCUCACUGCCUACUGGGAGAGACAGUCUGAAAGUUGGUGGAGCAUGUAACUGUUGGAUGAGGAGUUUGAGCCUGUGGACUGUGGGACCCCCGAGGAGGGUGUGGCUACUCUAGGCAGAACAAUCCCACAGUUUAUUUAUAUUUAACCUUGAAAUUCAUUAGAGGAUUUUUCAGCAGAGGUUUGGUACUUGUUAAUGUUAAGGUUUGCAUUCUCUAGAACCUCAAGGAAAGCUGUACCGUGCAUAAUGUACCCUCUUAUGUUAAUGUUGUGUACUGUGAUCCUGUUUCAGGGACUUGCACUUAGGAAUCUGUUACAGUGAGCACAGAAGCAGACCUGUGGGCUCAUAGUCUUCACCCCCCACCCAUAUAUACAAGAUGAACAGAGUGGAGGUUAAACAACUUGACUAAACAACACAGUUCAUGGUAAAGCCCAAGACUGUACCUGCCCAUCCACUGCCUUUUCCAUGUAUCCUGGAACUGAGCAUAGACCUCUUCCCAGGCAGAGCUGACAGCAAGUAAAGGAGAUCAUAAUCAGGGGACCAAACAACUUUGUCUAAAGUGUGAAUGUCACCUAAGGAGAAGCUGUGAGAUCAGAAGGGUGGGGCAGAGGAGCAGACACCAUGAGGGAGAGUCCUUGGGGGUACAUCUGCCAGACUGACACUGUCUGGCCUGGGCAGUGGAGGGGCUAGCAGGAACCACAGGUACUGGUGGUGUGGCUACUACCGUUACAACUGCCUGUGCUUGGACAUGGACCCUCUGCAAUAUGCGGCAGUUUCAUUCAUUGCCCCCUACAUUCUACACCAAGUAGAAAUGGAAGGCAAUUGGAUACUUCACAGACAAGAUCUAAGUGGAGAAGGAAUGCGUCCUGUGGCUGCAGAGAUCCUUGGAGCUUGGAGGGGAGAGCUUGAGCCCCACUGAUGAUGACCUCCCACAGCUCGCCAACUCAGCCCUCCCUAAGUCCCCAUCGGGGGCCAAUUCUCACUCUGGGGUUGGGGGGACUCCACCAUAGCUCAUCCAUCAUAGGGAUGUUGGUAUCUACUGUGGGUUGGGUAGGGCCGAUGUGCUGAGGAUGGCUCCCCCACAAGCAAGAGAUGUGGAUUUGGGGAGCUUCCCAUCUUGUGUUGAAGGAACAUAACUCAGAAUAAUAAGAGCCAACUAUAACAAACCCACAGCCAACAUCAUACUGAAUGGGCAAAAGCUGCAGGCAUUCCCCUUGAAAAGUGGCACAGGAUAAGGAAGCCCUUUCUCACCACUCCUAUUCAAUAUAGUGUUGAAAGUCCUGAUCACAGCAGUCAGGCAACAGAAAUAAUAAAGGGCAUCCAAAUAGGAAGAGAGGAAGUCAAACUAUCCUUGUUUGCAGACAGUAUGAUUCUAUAUCUAGAAAACCCCAUAGCCUCAGCCCAAAAGGUCCUUCAUCUGAUAAUUUCAGCAAAGUUUCAGGAGACAAAAUCAGUGUACAAAAAUCACUAACAUUCCUAUACACAGUCGCCAAGCCAAGAGCCAAAUCAGGAGCACAAUCCCAUUCAUAAUUGCCACAAAAAAGAAUAAAAUACCCAGGAAUGCAGCUAACCAAGGAAGUAAAGGAUCUCUACAAUGAGAAUCACAAACGCUGCUCAAAGAAAUCAGAGAUGACACAAACAAAUGGAAAAACUUUCCAUGCUCAUGGCUAGGAAGAAUCAAUAUCAUUAAAGUGGCCAUACUACCCAAAGCAAUUUAUAGAUUCAAUGCUAUUCCUAUCAAACUAUCAAUUACAUUUUUCACAGAACUAGAAAAAACUUAAAAUUCAUAUGGAACCAAAAAGCCUGAGUAGUCAAGGCAAUCCUAAACAAAAAGAACAAAGGUGGAGGCAUCACAUUACCUAACUUCAAACUACAGGGCUACCAUGACCAAAACAGCAUGGUACUGGUACAAAAGCAGACACACAGACCAGUGGGACAGAAUAGAGAGCCCAAAAAUAAGGCCACAAACCUACAGCCAUCUGAUCUUCAACAAAGUUGACAAAAACAAGCAAUGGGGAAAGGUCUCCCUAUUCAAUAAAUGGUGCUGGGAUAACUGGCUGGCCAUAUGCAGAAGAUCGUAACUGGACCCCUUUUACUAUGUACAAAAAUUAAGAUGGUUUAAAGAGUUAAAACCCAAAAUUAUAAAAAUCCUGAAGAUAACUUAGGCAAUACCAUUCUGGACAUAGGAACUGGCAAAUAUUUCAUGAUGAAGACACCAAAAGCAAUUGUAACAAAAGCAAAAAUGGACAAAUUGGAUUUAAGAGCUUUUUCAUAGCAAAAUAAACAACAGGGCAGACAAUCUACCAAAUGACAGAAAAUUUUUGCAAACUAUGCAUCUGACAAGGGGCUAAUAUCUAGCAUCUAUAAGGAAUUUAAACACAGUUACAGG